rnacentral:rRNA from 1 species
CCCAGACUCCUACGGGAGGCAGCAGUGGGGGAUAUUGCACAAUGGGGGAAACCCUGAUGCAGCGACGCCGCGUGGGUGAAGAAGCGCCUCGGCGCGUAAAGCCCUGUCAGCAGGGAAGAAAAUGACGGUACCUGAAGAAGAAGCCCCGGCUAACUACGUGCCAGCAGCCGCGGUAAUACGUAGGGGGCAAGCGUUAUCCGGAAUUACUGGGUGUAAAGGGAGCGUAGACGGUGAUGCAAGUCUGGAGUGAAAGGCGGGGGCCCAACCCCCGGACUGCUCUGGAAACUGUAUGACUUGAGUGCAGGAGAGGUAAGCGGAAUUCCUAGUGUAGCGGUGAAAUGCGUAGAUAUUAGGAGGAACACCAGUGGCGAAGGCGACUUUCUGGACUGUACCUGACGCUGAGGCGCGAAAGCGUGGGUAGCGAACGGGAUUAGAUACCCGUGUACC